CUCCCUUGGUCUCUGACUCUGUGUGCAAAAGUCGGUCCCAUGGCUUUCCCAAGCCAGGUUGGUUUGCAAUUGCUUCUCUGCCCGCUUAAUUCCAACAUUGUCGCCGUACAGCAUGUUGUUCUGUGGGGACUGUUUUGCCUGUUUAUGCAACAUUUAAGGCCAUUGAGAAUAAGGAUCAAAUGGAGCAACAAAAAUGGCUUCUCUAUUGGGCAGCUUAUGGAACUUUCAGUGUCGCUGAAGUGUUUGCAGAUAAAAUUCUGUCCUGGUACAGUUUGUAGGCCCGNNNNNNNNNNNNNUUCUUGUUUGGCUACAGCUGCCAUCUGUCAAUGGAGCCAGGCAAUUGUAUAUGAACCAUCU
rnacentral:misc_RNA from 1 species